AUUAAUAAAUCAUAUCAGCCCAAGACUGGUUGCCCACUGAAGCUAAGCAGGGUUGAGCCUGGUCAGUACCUGGACAUCCUGGGAAAACCUGGUGCUGUUAGUG
rnacentral:rRNA from 1 species